rnacentral:lncRNA from 1 species
AAUAUUUACAGAAUAUAAAAUAACAUGAUGAUAAAUCAAGAAUCAACUUUUCGUUCCUCAUUAACUUUUUUGAAUAUCGAAACAUUGAAAUGACUUCCCAAUUGAAUGCCUUUAAAAAUAUAAGUCUACUUUCCGGAGACAUGACACAAUUUUUGUCAUACGAAUGGAUACAACGGAAGUAUAGAAAUAAUGUAAAUUGGGUAGUGACUCUAUAUCAAUGGUUGCUUAAUUUCGCUCGACAGUAUACAGUAUAUAUAUAUAUAUGUAUUCCCCCCUCUCUCUCAUUCUCUUCUGCAACUACUACCGCCAGUCAAUAGUCAAUUAUGUAAAUUAAAUCGAUGCUUUCAGAAAGAGAGAUCAUUGAAGCGAGAAGUCAGGAGUUUCAAAAUUAGAAGUACUUAGAGCAAAACUGGUAUGAUUGAUGAUAUGCUUUAAAUAUUAAAAGAUAGAAACCUUCCUUUCCGGUGU